UACGUAGGGGGCAAGCGUUGUCCGGAAUUAUUGGGCAUAAAGCGCGUGUAGGCGGCCAGAAAAGUCCGCUGUGAAAACUCGAGGCUCAACUUCGAGCUGUCGGUGGAAACUUUCUGGCUAGAGUCCGGAAGAGGAGAAUGGAAUUCCUGGUGUAGCGGUGAAAUGCGCAGAUAUCAGGAAGAACACCCGUGGCGAAGGCGGUUCUCUGGGACGGUACUGACGCUGAGACGCGAAAGCGUGGGGAGCGAACAGG
rnacentral:rRNA from 1 species